AGCUGCAAUGAAAUAAGUUACAAUCCUUGGAUGGAAUAAAGUGUUCAGUGCACGAUGUUACUAAUUAACAGUCAAACAGUUUACACCCGCCCUUUAAGGCGACUCACUUUCCCUAAACACGCCCUGUUGCUGAACACGCCGAGGCAGACUGUCGUCUUGAUGAACUGUAGUAACCUCAUCAGAGCAGAGGACAGCUGCUUUCCAUUACAAACAUGCAGGCAGAGAGCAGGCAGAAACUGCCAGACUGACAGGGGAGCAUAGUUCGGGGGUUCCGUGGAAAGAAACACAAAUGCUGAGGUUCAGAGAUCGGCGGGGGGGGGGGGGGGGGGGCUUACAAACUCUGAAGUCAUGUAAAGCCAAUGCAUGGAUUUUUUGGGGGGGUAGUUGAUGAAGUGACACAUGCAGAGAAGAGGAGUUGCAGAAUAAUGUACAGAAACACAACGCAGCACUUCUGAAGUCAGUGUGGGAUUUCUUGUUCUGGUGCGUACAACUCUGGCGAGGCGUUUAUGUGGUUUGGUAUAAAUGCUAAUUGAUGGAGUCAUCAAACAUGCUGAGCCUGUAACCCGACAUUCUCAACCAAACAUUUGCAAGUUAACCAAGGAAACAUGAGCUAUCUGACUACGGUGUAUGUAUGAAUGGAACUACCCUUUGAUGGACUGAUGGAACACUUUAAUACAGAGCGAAAGCUCCAGCAUGAAUCCUUGGGAGCUGCUUCGUGAUGGCUGCAAAUAGAAUUUCCCACCACUGAUGAGUUGUUGUUUUUUUUUCCAACACACCACAGUGCAUCUGGCCCACGAGUCUCCAAGCUGACUCAAAACACCAACAGGGAAAUGUAACGUUUAAAAAAAAAAACUGAGCCCUUAGUACAACGACAUCUAUUUACUAGUGCAAAAGACGUUCUAACCUCUCAAGUAUGCCUCUGUGUGUGUGUGAGUAAAAUUUAGCCAUGAGCAUUAAUUGACAUAUUUUGGAAAAAUAUGCCCAGAUGCCACUAACCUUCAGAUUUUUCACCACCAAUAUGCAAGAUGCGCACAUCUCUGUCCUGGAUGCUCAGUAACAUAUGUCCUAGUGGACAACAAUCCAACAAUCGUUU